rnacentral:rRNA from 1 species
AGAGUUUGAUCCUGGCUCAGAUUGAACGCUGGCGGCAUGCUUUACACAUGCAAGUCGAACGGCAGCGCGGGGCAACCUGGCGGCGAGUGGCGAACGGGUGAGUAAUACAUCGGAACGUACCCAGAAGUGGGGGAUAACGUAGCGAAAGUUACGCUAAUACCGCAUACGUUCUACGGAAGAAAGUGGGGGAUCUUCGGACCUCAUGCUUUUGGAGCGGCCGAUGUCUGAUUAGCUAGUUGGUGAGGUAAAGGCUCACCAAGGCGACGAUCAGUAGCUGGUCUGAGAGGACGACCAGCCACACUGGGACUGAGACACGGCCCAGACUCCUACGGGAGGCAGCAGUGGGGAAUUUUGGACAAUGGGCGCAAGCCUGAUCCAGCAAUGCCGCGUGAGUGAAGAAGGCCUUCGGGUUGUAAAGCUCUUUUGUCAGGGAAGAAACGGUCCGGGCUAAUAUCCUGGGCUAAUGACGGUACCUGAAGAAUAAGCACCGGCUAACUACGUG